rnacentral:rRNA from 1 species
UACGUAGGGGGCGAGCGUUGUCCGGAUUUAUUGGGCGUAAAGAGCUCGUAGGCGGUUUGGUAAGUUGGAUGUGAAAUCUCCAGGCUCAACUUGGAGGGGUCAUUCGAUACUGCCAUGACUAGAGUUCGGUAGGGGAGUGUGGAAUUCCUGGUGGAGCGGUGAAAUGCGCAGAUAUCAGGAGGAACACCCGUGGCGAAGGCGGCUCGCUGGGACGUUACUGACGCUGAGACGCGAAAGCGUGGGGAGCAAACAGG